CAGCCGCCGCGGGAAUACGUAGGUGGCAAGCGUUAUCCGGAAUGAUUGGGCGUAAAGCGUCUGUAGGUGGCUUUUCAAGUCCGCCGUCAAAUCCCAGGGCUCAACCCUGGACAGGCGGUGGAAACUACCAAGCUGGAGUACGGUAGGGGCAGAGGGAAUUUCCAGUGGAGCGGUGAAAUGCGUUGAGAUCGAAAAGAACACCAACAGCGAAAGCACUCUGCUGGGACGACACUGACACUAAGAGACGAAAGCUAGGGGAGCAAAUGGGAUUAGAUACCCGUGUAGUCCCUGUCUCUUAUAA
rnacentral:rRNA from 1 species